rnacentral:rRNA from 1 species
AUGACUAGAUCUAAAGGAAUGUGGGUGUUCUCCCUCCUAGUUUUACUUGCUUUCUCCUCUUAUUCAUAUCAUGCACGAGGAGAUGAAUUGACCGAGGAAAAAAAUCUUGUGAUAGAGUAUUGCAAGAAGCACAUCAUAAAAUAUUUCGGUGACCCAUUUCCAAAACUCAGCAGCAAAUGCUGCGGAAUAGUAUGUUUAUUAAUAGACCUCCAUGCCAUUUGCGAGAAAUUCACUAUCAAGGAUCUGCUUUGGAUUGACCUAGAAAAGUGGGCUACUGUUACACAUGUGUGCGGCAACUCAUUACUUCCAGGGACUAUAUGUGCAGGUUAUGUUGUUCCUCGUUAUGGUCACGAGCCACCUCCAACUGAACACUCAGUGUAA